CUGCAGCGUCACCUGCAGGGCUGGCGUAUGCCGGGCUCUCAGUCUUACCGCUGCGGAAGUUCCGAAUUCGGUCCUUUUACCUGGAUGAAUAUCUUCCCCCUCCAGGUCAAAAAAGACUCCUUUAGGCUUCUCCAUUCCUUCAGCAAAUAUAUAGUGAAUUCCUAUUAUGCGCCUGGCAAUCUUUUGGGUCCUGGGGAUACAAAGAUGAACAAGGCAGCCUGUGCUAUUCUAUGAAGCAGACGGUGUUCUUAUGCUCAUUCAAAAACGGGGAAACCAAGCCUCAGAAAGACUCCAUGACUUGCCUAAAUCCACAGAGCUGGAAAAUAGCAAAGAUGGGAUUUGAACCCAAGAAGUCUGACUCUGGGAACUGGACAUUUUACCCCUGUGCUGGGGUGGAAGGGUGAGAGAAGUCUGUGAUGAUCUCCUAGGACUCAGGUUAACUAACUGGGAUUAGUGACUCCAUCAACACAGGUAGGAAAACUAGGUCAAAGGGCAGGCCUUUUGUUUUUGGGGUGGCAUGGCUAGUGUAAGUUACCGUUACUCCUAUGUUAAAACUCCCAGUUUAUCUCUAAGGGUAAUGUAAAGAUUGCUUCUUUUCUGUUUUCCUGCCUUCUUUAUUCUGCCUUUGUAGCAACUCUUAACUCUGAUUUUUAGAACGCAAUACACCAAACUCUUCCUAAAGAAAUAUAAAAGGAUAGGUGGAACACACCCAAAGAAGAUUCAAAAUCAGACAUGAAGCACUGAUAGCUUCAUAGCUUUGUCUGAUCUAUUUGGCCACCUUCCAUCCUUAGCAAUUGGAGUGGAUGGCUUGGGGGGUACAAUCUGGGGCUAAUGGGGGUUCAGACUCUAUCUAUGUGUCUGAUGCAAACUAUCUGGGUAGAGCCCAGGUGCUUCAUGUCCCCUGGUUACUUAGGUUCUUGGCGGCCUCACCUAUGAUUGGGAUAACUCCUGCCCCCUUCCUCCCGACCCGCAUCAAUCUUAUAGUCACUGGGUGCUCCGGGAUUAUCACAAAAUUUAACCAAGAACUUCUUCAGACAGUUCCUCUCCAUGGUUAAUGGGGAGCACCUUUUGAACAAGUUUCUUAUUCAUAGACUCACAAGCAAGAAAGCUGCCCACCCAGAAUCAGUCUCCCUGGACAGCAGGUGCGGCUUUUGAUACCACAUUAUUCUUGCUGGUUCUCUUCCCUGACCUCCCUCAUCCUGGACUAAGGCUGCUUUUGCCCCUUACGGCACAGUCACAGUUUGUUUUUCAUAUUCAAGGCCUGGUUUCUGAAAAUAUCAGAGGCUUGACUCACAAAAGAGAGACGGUUUUAGAAUCCUUUAUGAUCAUUUUCUAGACCAAAACACUGGGUUUCUAAGACACAGAAAAUGAGGACCAGCAAGAGUCUUCUUUGUUUUUUCUUUGCGGUACGCGGGCCUCUCACUGUCGCGGCCUCUCCCGUUGCAGAGCACAGGCUCCGGAUGCGCAGGCUCAGCGGCCAUG